rnacentral:lncRNA from 1 species
AUUUGGGGACAAUUAAGGGGUCCCAAAGACAAUUUUAGCACAUUUUGGGUAAAUUUUGGGGACAUUCUGGGGUCCCCCUACCAGAAAAUUCCAAUUCCAGAAAAAAAUCCGAGCUCAAUUUAAAAAAAAAAAUCCCCCAAAAUUCCAAUUUUUUUGGUGAAUUCCCAUCAAUUUUUGGGAUAACAAAAUGGAUUUUUGAUGAAACCAAAAAUCAGGGAUUUAUUUAAAAUUCCAGCUCUGAAGCCCAAAGAAUUCCUGGAUUUUUUUGGGGAAUUUUUAGGGAAAAAAAAAAAGGAUUAAAAUCACGGAGGUGGAGCCAUAAUUCUGCUAAAAAAGGGAAAUUUUGGGGUAAAAAAAAUUCAGGAAUUUCUCCCCAAAAUCCCCCUUGGAAUGGGAGAUUCCCAAAUCCUCCCUGGGAAUGAAAAAAAUAAAAAUUAAAGGCUAAAAAUUCCAAUUUUUGGGAAUAAAUCUUUAUUAAAUUGAAGAAUUUUGGGGGAAAAAAAAUGAAAAAUAUCCUCAGGAAUUUUUCCAAACUUCCAACUUUUUAUUUUUCCCAUUUUUGGGACUUUAUUUUGCUAAAAAUUGCCCCAAAUUCCAGCAGAGAAUUCCUCAGGAAUGGGAAAAUUCAGGAAUUUUUCCUCUUUUGUGGCUUCUUCAUCCUGGAAAAAGAGAAAAAAAAAUGGGAAAAAUUGAAAUUUUAAUGAAUUUCCCAAGAAUUCUCCCCAAAAUUCCAAUUCCAGUUGGAAAUUCUGGAAAAAUUUGAAUUUUUUUAAAAUGGAAUUCUCACCUGGAAUUCUCAGGGCUCUUCCAAGGUUUUCUCCUCCUCCUUUUCCGGGGUUUUUUCCUCUUUUUCUGGAAUUUUUUCUGGAAUUUUUUCCGGAUUUUUUUCCUCCUUUUCCUCCUCAGUUUGGUUUUGGGGGGAAAUCCCAAAUUCCUGGGAUUUUGGGGAAUUUUCCUCGGAGUUUUUGGGAUUUUCUUGGGAAUUUUCGGGAUUUUCUUGGGAAUUUUCCUGAAAAUUUUUGGGAUUUUCUUGGGAAUUUUCCUGGGAAUUUUGGGGAUUUUCUUGGGGGUUUUCCUGGGAAUUUUGGGGAUUUUCGGGAAUUUCGGACUCCUCCAGGAACGGGGGCACCAGGAGGGGCCCGGGGGCCGCCAGGAAUUCCUGGGAUUUGGGGCCGUCCUGGGCAAUUUGGGAAUUUUCCGUGGAAUUUUCCGGAAUUUCCGCGGUUUUGGGGCCGUCCUGGGGCUCUUCCGUGAAGGGAUCUUCACCCUGCAGGGGGAAAAAAUAAUGGGAAUUUUGGGGGAAAAUGG